UAUUAAAGAAAAACUAGGCCAAGUGCGAGCCAGACCCGCGCACCGAAGAUUCCGUACUACAGUGGUAUUUUUUCGACAUUUUGGACGAUAAAUCAAAAACUAUUAUGCAUAAAAAUAAAUAAAAAUCUGUUUUAAAAUGUACAGGUAAAAAUCUUUUCAUAUAUUGUAUGCAUACC